GCUAGAGUGUGGUCCUCUUCCAUGGAAACCUCCAAGAACUUUCCAUGGUUUCCAGUGAUCUCUCAACCAAGCACCAACCAGGUCCACAGCUGCUUACUUUCAUCAAUCCUUACACCAUCAGGUGUUCCCAGACUUCACCAAAUGAUAUCCACUGUAUAUAAAGGGUGGAAAAAACUAUUUAUGUCCAAGGGUAUAUUGUGGUUUUGCUGUUGCAGAUGUUGGUUCUUUGCUGUGCUGCUUAUUUUUAAAAAACAUCUUACCUGAAUUAAUGGAUAGGGCUCAAGUUAAUGGGAUGCAGGUAGCGCUGUGGUCUAAACCACUGAGCCUCUUGGGCUUGCCGAUCAGAAGGUCGGUGGUUUGAAUCCCCACGACGGGAUGAGCUCCCAUUGCUCUGUCCCAGCUCCUGCCAACCUAGCAGUUCGAAAGCACACCAGUGCAAGUAGAUAAAUAGGGACCACUGCAGUGGGAAGGUAAAUGGUGUUUCCAUGCACUCUGGUUUCCAUCCCGUUGUGACAGAAGAGGUUUAGUCAUGCUGGCCACAUGACCUGGAAAGCUGUCUGUGGACAAAUGCCGGCUCCCUCGGCCUGAAAGUGAGAUGAGCACCGCAACCCCAUAGUCGCCUUUGACUGGACUUAACCGUCCUGGGCUCCUUUACCUUUUCUCAGGUUAAUGCAGACAAGAAGAAAAGGUGACAUCCUUUGAGGCCAAUUAUGUUUUUCACCUCUUGGUUUCUUGUAUCCCAGUUUGCAGGGUGCAAUAUUUAACAUCAAGUUUGAUUAAUACAAUUAACACUUGAAGCGGGGGAACUUUAACUCAAGAGAAAGCAGAACGCUUUCGAAAUUGUCAGCUGCAUUCACUGGAAUAUUGUCUCCUUACCCCCAUCACUGAGUUCAGUUGGGCUGCUGGAGCAAGAAGUCAGAUCAAGUUCACCAGGAAUGGGCAGACUGCCAAAGUAACAGAGCUCUGUCCAGCAGGACCAAUAGACCUAGCACAACUUAUGAAAGCAAUUUGUUGUUUCAGCAUCAAACUCUCUGGAAGGCUCAGGCAUAGGACACCUGUAGUUCACAGACAGAUGCUGGAAAAUGUGGAAGUUGCUAAGCAAGUAAAAAAGUUAAAAGGUGACAGUGACAAGGAAGCGUGAUGAUGACUAAGCCUCUGGAACAGUGUUUCCGGCUGAUAGCUGAGGCACACGUUUUCUGAAUUAAAAUUAGAGAAACGCUUCACUCUUUCAUACCCCAAUAAGUUUACUUUUGGAGUGCAUAACAGAGAGAAUUACCUACCUUCAGUACCUAAAUGUUUCUGCAUGUCCUUGUCCCAGCCAUGUUUGUUGGCUGGAAGGUAGAAAACUCAGAGCAGUGAUGUAGGCAGCGAUGCAGUGGGUGGCCUCUAAUGCUCUAAUCCAGUGUUUCUCAACCUGUGGGUCCCCAGAUGUUGGUGGACUACAACUCCCAUAAUUCUUAGCCAGCAUGACCAGUGGUCAGGGAUGAUGGGAGUUGUAGUCCAACAACAUCUGGGGACCCACAGGUUGAGAACCGCUGUAUCUAAUCCCAUCAGAUGCCCAGGCACAGCCGAAUUAGGAACAUAGAAAGCAGCCUCAUAGCAAAUAAAUGACCCAUUUGGCUCCAAAUUAUUUUUUAUAUUUUGCUGGAGGCCGCCCAGAGUGGCUGGGGAAACCCAACCAGAUGGGUGGGGUAUAAGCAAUAAAUAAUAAUAAUAAUAAUAAUAAUAAUAAUAAUACACGGACAGGCAGAGGUUAUCCAGGGUUUCAGGUAGACAUCUUUCUCAAUGCAAGCUGGGGAAGCCAGGGACUGAACUCAGAGCCUUUCUGCACUGCUGAGGCUCUCCAGGAGGCAAGGCCAGAGCAGUGAAUCAAACACAAGUGGGUACUUUGGGCUCAAAGUCACACAAGCCUUUCAAUUAUUUAAUAUAUUUAUUUCUCCUGGUGCGCUACGGUCCUCCCUUGGUAAAUGACUGAGCCCUGGAACACAGCUCUAGAAACCUGAAGGGAUGCGAGCUGAACAGGAUUUUAGGGAAGAAUCGCUGGGGCGACAAAGCACACUUCCCUUAAAUGAGAAAUCAAGGGACUCCCCCUCCCCCACCCCCACCGGAGUCUUGCCUUUGAUAUAUGAAUACGACUCCCCAGCUCCAGCUCCCUUGUGUCUCUUGUAGCUCUUGAUAAUUUAAGAUUAUUUUUAUAAUGUGCUUGGCUGCUGCAUGCAAAUCACAUCGCCUUGCCCAGAAUUGCAUUAUACAACACAGCAAGGACCAUCUGAACUGAAUAAAGACGCAGCAUUAAAUCAGGUACUUAAUCGCUCAUUUUGCUUUGAUUUACUGAAUCCAUUGUCUUCCGGUUUUAUGUUACAGGGGGAAAAAUCCCAGCCCAGCCCCAAGAAGAAGAAAAAAACAUAGGAAGAAACAACUUGAUACGACAGGCCCCAAUAUGCAGUGUCAGAUUAGGAAACAAUAUAUUAAGAUCCUAGUGGUUUCGGAAAAUCAAUACAGACAUGCUUAUUCAAGUGACUAGUAACGUCACAGGGGCCAUUAAAAAGGCAACUGAGGAUUGACCCACAAAUAUACUACCUAGAGGGUUAGUUGCUGUUUUUGUGUUAUUAACAUGGAUGGAAAUUACAAGACUCCACUUGUGGCUUUGUGGAAUUGAACGUCAGCCUGGAAACAGACAAUAGCUUUUUCAGAGUAUUGAAACAAUGACAGCCAUCGCUGUCCAUGGCAUGCAUAGGCACUGCACAAAAACCUGCGCAAAAUCAUCUGACCAGAGACGACAGCCGGACAAAAUGCACGAGUGUGUAUGCCACAGGAGACAAUGCUUUCAUCAUGCCACCUACCGC